GUCCACGCCGUAACGAUGGAUACUAGCUGUUGGGAGCAAUCUCAGUGGCUAAGCGAAGUGAUAAGUAUCCCACCUGGGAGUACGUUCGCAAGAAUGAAACUCAAAGGAAUUGACGGGGCCCGCACAAGCGGUGGAGCAUGUGGUUUAAUUCGAUGAUACGCGAGGAACCUUACCAAGGCUUAAAUGUAGAUUGACCGUUUUGGAAACAGAACUUUCGCAAGACAAUUUACAAGGUGCUGCAUGGUUGUCGU
rnacentral:rRNA from 1 species